ensembl:lncRNA
GUGAAAGUCUGAUCAAACAUGAGUUGCUGCUUGAAGUAGGGCAUGUUUCUCUACCUGUCUUUUUGGGAAACAAAGGAGUUCCACACUAAAUUGGACAGACAGAAAGAUCUUUAGCCCACUGAACCAGGAAUAGCCAUUUUAUUAAAGCUGUAUGAGUAUUUUGCUGCAAAAGACUAGAGAUACCUAUACUGAGUCUGCUUUCUGAAGAAAGAAAAUGUAGAAGUCAAUUCUGCCCUUUUUGAGCCUUUGCAGUACCAGGUGUCAUUUAGGGAAGGCAGACCUGAGUGCUCAGCAGCUGCCUACAAUCAGCUGAAAAAGCCUAAAACAACCUUCUUCUGAACCUUCCUAAGAACAAGUGGAAGAGUGAGGGAAGAGUGUGAGAAGUAUCACAUUGAGUGCUGCAGGACAAUUUAAGCUCUUUUGAGGCCUGAUUUCUGUCCUUGCUUGGUGCAGUAAUUGAGUCAGGUGCUUU